CAUUAACUUGAAUAUUUUUAAUUUUUAAUUCUAAUUAGUUUUUAAAAGUAUUUAUUGUAUUUAGUCCUAAGAUUUAUGAGAAUUGUGAUAUUUUCCGUAGAUUUUAAACUUCUUAAUUUAAUUACUUGUAGUAGAUAUUGAAUGUAGUCCUAUAUACCUAGAUAGCACGUGGAAGCACAUGGCAGAUAUGUUUUUGAAACUAGAACCAAUGUGUGUUUCAACAAUCGUUCUGCCAUCCAUCACGGAGCGGUGACUAAUUCAACAAUAUGAAGAUCAUGUGAAUGAUAGCGGGUCCAAUUCUCAACUGAUAUCUGAAUGUACAAUGGAGUACCCUCCGACCAUGUGUGUAUGCCGAUAAGUUGACUGAACACCUAUAAAGCGCAUACAACUUAUGCACCGAGGAUAAAAGUAGUGGACGUGCCAUAUACACGUAGGCCACGUACACGUACACCUUAGGUCUCAACUCUGAUGGCACAUACCGGAAAGUAAAGAAAUGCUUCAAGACAGGAGUAAAUAGAUCACAACACCGCUGCAUCGGUCGCCAGGCGUGAUACACACCAUGGAGGAAACAGCUGGCAACAUCGCUUCGAGCUACGAGCAAAGUAAGUUCAUUCAUAUUUUAUGUUGUCUUAGGAAAAAGUGUAUAUUCUUAAACACUAUGACUUAUUUAUUAAUCAGUUUAUACUCUUAUGCCUGUACUGCACCUCUGUUUUUGUACUUGUAUCAUUUCUUCUGUGACCAUACUGUCUUUGCGCUGUGUUACGGUAUAUUACGGUGCCUCGAUUUGUUUUAACCUAACUACUUCCUAAAAUGUUGUGUUGGACUUGUGCUACCAACUUCUUAGCUAUCAGUGAGCGGAUAACCUAUCAGUACCUAUGACUAAUAAUAUUAUAGGUAUUUUAUGUUUUUUAGUUUUUACCUUUUGUUGUUAAUCCUAUAGUUGAAAUGAUUUUGUUCCAUUUUUAUUUGUGUUUGCGAUCGUUUUUGCACUUACUUUCUUCAGACGUGUAAUUGGGAUGAUGAUACUCAUAAUCAAAUGUUAAAAUAUCACGCUGAAUCAUAAUUAUGUGUAACUUGUAACAUAUUUUCACUGAUUUAUGUGCUGUAAACUUUUGAUUUCCUAAUGGUGAUAAAGUACUUUUGUUUUCUUAGGGCUUUCUUUGACACGGAUUUCUUUAACAUUUUUCCGAUUAGGUACUAGAUGAAAAAUUAUGUUUAUGUAAUGAAACCGCAUUAACCUCUGAACAUUACUUAAUCACAACAACGUUCUUAAACAACAAAUUCGUAUUAGCGUUUUUAAAUCCUACUCUUAAUAAGACACUGGCAUCGCCAUCUAUUGAAGAAAUACAGAACUAAUUUGAAAUUUCGAUUCGAUUCCAAUGCAAACUGCGUUAACAUUUAAAAAUCUUAGAAAGGAGCAUAGGUCGCGAAUAUCGUAAUACGAAAUUAGGUAUCAAUACUAAGCCACAUGAUAUAUUUUUCAUUAAGUUUGGUAUAACAAAGUUGGCAAUGUUUUUCCUGAUAACGAUUACCUAUACUUCUAUACUAAUAUUAUAAAGAGGUAAAAUUUGUAAGUUUGUAAGUUUGUAUGCAAGGGGUAAUCUCUGGAAGUUAUAAUCCAAUUCUAAAAAUUUUUUUACCAGCAGAAAGCUGCAUUAUUCC